AGCAGUAGCCGCGGGAAUACAGAGGGUGCGAGCGUUAAUCGGAUUUACUGGGCGUAAAGCGUUCGUAGGCGGCUAAUUGAGUCGGAUGUGAAAUCCCCGAGCUUAACUUGGGAAUUGCAUUCGAUACUGGUUAGCUAGAGUGUGGGAGAGGAUGGUAGAAUUCCAGGUGUAGCGGUGAAAUGCGUAGAGAUCUGGAGGAAUACCGAUGGCGAAGGCAGCCAUCUGGCCUAAUACUGACGCUGAGGUACGAAAGCAUGGGGAGCAAACAGGAUUAGAUACCCCGGUAGUCCCUGUCUCUUAUAC
rnacentral:rRNA from 1 species